UACGAAGGGGGCUAGCGUUGUUCGGAAUUACUGGGCGUAAAGCGCACGUAGGCGGACACUUAAGUCAGGGGUGAAAUCCCGGGGCUCAACCUCGGAACUGCCUUUGAUACUGUGAGUCUCGAGACCGGAAGAGGUGAGAGGAAUACCUAGUGUAGAGGUGAAAUUCGUAGAUAUGAGGAAGAACACCAGUGGCGAAGGCGGGUGACUGGCUCGGUACUGACGCUGAGGUGCGAAAGCGUGGGGAGCAAACAGG
rnacentral:rRNA from 1 species